UACAGAGGUCCCGAGCGUUGUUCGGAUUCAUUGGGCGUAAAGAGCGUGUAGGCGGCCGCACAGGUCCGUUGUGAAAACUGGAGGCUUAACCUUCAGACGUCGAUGGAAACCGUGCGGCUAGAGUCCGGAAGAGGAGAAUGGAAUUCCUGGUGUAGCGGUGAAAUGCGCAGAUAUCAGGAAGAACACCAAUGGCGAAAGCAGCUCUCUGGGACGGUACUGACGCUGAGACGCGAAAGCGUGGGGAGCGAACAGG
rnacentral:rRNA from 1 species